CUCACCAACAGAUGUCACCUCUACAGCCACGCCACCAAGGGAUGACUCAGCAGUGACAACGAGGACUACUGUUCAAGAACGGAUUCUAGAGACACUGGAGGGACUGGACAAAAAAGAGCUGAACAAAUUUCA